rnacentral:misc_RNA from 1 species
ACUCCAGAGCUGUUUUGCGC